rnacentral:rRNA from 1 species
GCAAGCGUUGUUCGGAAUUAUUGGGCGUAAAGCGCGUGUAGGCGGCUUAGCAAGUCGGGUGUGAAAGCCCUCGGCUCAACCGAGGAAGUGCGCCCGAAACUGCAGAGCUUGAGUACCGGAGAGGAUGGCGGAAUUCCCCAAGUAGAGGUGAAAUUCGUAGAUAUGGGGAGGAACACCGGUGGCGAAGGCGGCCAUCUGGACGGAUACUGACGCUGAGACGCGAAAGCGUGGGGAGCAAACAGGAUUAGACACCCUGGUAGUCCACGCCGUAAGCGAUGAGAACUAGGUGUCGUGGGUGUUGACCCCCGCGGUGCCGUAGCCAACGCAUUAAGUUCUCCGCCUGGGAAGUACGGCCGCAAGGCUAAAACUCAAAGGAAUUGACGGGGGCCCGCACAAGCGGUGGAGCAUGUGGUUCAAUUCGACGCAACGCGCAGAACCUUACCUGGUCUUGACAUCC